AUUUCCCUCUUUCGGCAGGCCUAACACAUGCAAGUCGAGCGGAUGAAGGGAGCUUGCUCCUGGAUUCAGCGGCGGACGGGUGAGUAAUGCCUAGGAAUCUGCCUGGUAGUGGGGGAUAACGUCCGGAAACGGGCGCUAAUACCGCAUACGUCCUGAGGGAGAAAGUGGGGGAUCUUCGGACCUCACGCUAUCAGAUGAGCCUAGGUCGGAUUAGCUAGUUGGUGGGGUAAAGGCCUACCAAGGCGACGAUCCGUAACUGGUCUGAGAGGAUGAUCAGUCACACUGGAACUGAGACACGGUCCAGACUCCUACGGGAGGCAGCAGUGGGGAAUAUUGGACAAUGGGCGAAAGCCUGAUCCAGCCAUGCCGCGUGUGUGAAGAAGGUCUUCGGAUUGUAAAGCACUUUAAGUUGGGAGGAAGGGCAGUAAGUUAAUACCUUGCUGUUUUGACGUUACCAACAGAAUAAGCACCGGCUAACUUCGU
rnacentral:rRNA from 1 species